rnacentral:lncRNA from 1 species
AUCCUUUUUGUUUCUAGACAAGUGAUCACAUUCUUGCUUUCUCUCAUGAAUGACUUCUAUUAUCCUGUCAUACUCUCUUAGGAAGCUUGUUGCACUGAAUUUAGCCCCCACUCCCCUUUUGAACAGUGCAUUUGUCAUACUCUCUUCGAGGUACAGCGACUGCCCUUUGAUGCUAUAUUCUAUUGCAUCUGAUUCGAUUGCAGGCAUCUGCACUCAAUGUUUUCAGAAAGUAUAGGUAAUGAAGUGUUGUAGAAUAAACAAGAGUAUUUCUGAUGUCCCCAUUUGUCCUUUUUUUGCAUGUAUGCAUGUUUAUGCAUAUGUAGGGUGCAACAAGUAGGUAAGAAAUGCAGUAAAGCAUGUUGCAAGUCAUUGACAAGGUUUUUUGUACAAUUUUUUCUUUGAAGCCAGAGUUAUUUGUGUCAAUUCCAGUAGUCUCUUCAUACACAAGUUUCUGAUUUCUUCUAUUUAUGUGCAAAUCAGAGCUUGUAAUUUACAAGGUAGGGUGCAGAGUGUCAGUGCUUAACCUGAUUGUCCUCAGUCUUUUUUUCUGAUAAUUUUACUUUCACUGUUAAUUUUCAUGGCAUAUUAGAUUAAGUGUGAACUAGUAUCAGAUCAUAGUAAUUUGAACUACAACUUUGGACAGUACAAUUGUUUCUAAAAUACAGUCAUAUGUUCACAGCUUUAUACUGAAAUCUAAUCUGCCAUGUCUAAAAUACAGUCAUAGAUUCACAGAUACAAAUGUCCAAACAUGAUCAAAAGUAUCUGAACAAUGUACAGUUUCUCAGCACCAAACUUCUGAAAUUACAGCAGUACUACUCUUUUUGUUUGAACAAGUUUUUCCUAAAUGGAAUUCAUAGCUUCCUCANNNNNNNNNNUUUUUUUUCUUUUUCAAGCUCAAACACAUGCAACCUCGUUGUAUCUUCCAUUUUCUUUCAGAACUUCCUGAAGAUGCGAAUGUUGUAGAGCUCAUACACUUGUCGUUCUAUACUGUAUUUGGACCAGAACUUCUUGGGCGCAUCCUUUUUGUUUCUAGACAAGUGAUCACAUUCUUGCUUUCUCUCAUGAAUGACUUCUAUUAUCCUGUCAUACUCUCUUAGGAAGCUUGUUGCACUGAAUUUAGCCCCCACUCCCCUUUUGAACAGUGCAUUUGUCAUACUCUCUUCGAGGUACAGCGACUGCCCUUUGAUGCUAUAUUCUAUUGCAUCUGAUUCGAUUGCAGGCAUCUGCACUCAAUGUUUUCAGAAAGUAUAGGUAAUGAAGUGUUGUAGAAUAAACAAGAGUAUUUCUGAUGUCCCCAUUUGUCCUUUUUUUGCAUGUAUGCAUGUUUAUGCAUAUGUAGGGUGCAACAAGUAGGUAAGAAAUGCAGUAAAGCAUGUUGCAAGUCAUUGACAAGGUUUUUUGUACAAUUUUUUCUUUGAAGCCAGAGUUAUUUGUGUCAAUUCCAGUAGUCUCUUCAUACACAAGUUUCUGAUUUCUUCUAUUUAUGUGCAAAUCAGAGCUUGUAAUUUACAAGGUAGGGUGCAGAGUGUCAGUGCUUAACCUGAUUGUCCUCAGUCUUUUUUUCUGAUAAUUUUACUUUCACUGUUAAUUUUCAUGGCAUAUUAGAUUGAGUGUGAACUAGUAUCAGAUCAUAGUAAUUUGAACUACAACUUUGGACAGUACCAUUGUUUCUAAAAUACAGUCAUAUGUUCACAGCUUUAUACUGAAAUCUAAUCUGCCAUGUCUAAAAUACAGUCAUAGAUUCACAGAUACAAGUGUCCAAACAUGAUCAAAAGUAUCCGAACAAUGUACAGUUUCUCAGCACCAAACUUCUGAAAUUACAGCAGUACUACUCUUUUUGUUUGAACAAGUUUUUCCUAAAUGGAAUUCAUAGCUUCCUCAUGCCCCCCCUCUCAUCCCCAAACUUUUCUUGGCCCUGUGUUGUAGCUAUAGCUGCGAAUUUCUGAGCACUAAUUUUGCAACUAGUUUUCAGAAUCUAGUGUUCCAGAAGUGUUAUUCCUGUGACCAUAAACUAGUAAUUCAUAUGUGUUCAUAGUCUAGUUGUUCCUAGAGUUUCUCCUGCUCCAUGCUAUCUUUUCUGCCUGUGUUCUAAUCUUUGUUCUGUUAAGUUGUGUUCUUCAGCAUAUGUUAAUGAUCCUCACAGGGAGCUUGUUUUUCUUUCAGAUGUCAUGAGGUAGGAGAGAGAUCUUGGAGGAGUGAAUGCAUAAGAGGGGGGGUGUUUACCUGUGUUUUUUCUGCAUCUCCAGCCAGAUUUGUGUCCCAGAUCAUGGAGGAAUUGCCCUCUCUGGUGUGGACCCAUAAGUGGAUUUACAUUGUAAUUCCUACUGGAUUUACAGUGUUUUUCUUAGUGGAUAUCCAGUGUAAUUCCAAGUGGAUUUACACUGUAAUUACUACUGGAUUUACAGUGUUUUUCCUAGUGGGUUUCCACUGUAAUUCUAAGUGGAUUUACAUUGUAAUUCCUACUGGAUUUACAAUGUUUUUCUUAGUGGAUUUACACUGAAAUGCUUAGUGUAAUUAUUUAGUACAAAUUAUUUGGAUUGGAAGUGUAUUUUUAGCGGUAUUUACAGUGUAAUUUUAGUGGAUUUUACAGUGUAAUUUUAGUGGAUUUUACAUUGUAAUUCUUAGUGCACAUAAAGAUUUUCUAUAGUGCAUUUUUCAGUGGAUAUUACACUGAAAUUCUUUAGUUGAACUAUUAGUGUAAUUUUAGUUAUUUUCCAGUGUGCAUUUGUC